rnacentral:rRNA from 1 species
UUGGAGGGCAAGUCUGGUGCCAGCAGCCGCGGUAAUUCCAGCUCCAAUAGCGUAUAUUAAAGUUGUUGCAGUUAAAAAGCUCGUAGUUGAAUUUCGGGACUAAUAUGUCGGUCGUACUUUGUACGUACUAGCAUUAUUGGUUUCUCCCUUCUGACGAACCACGAUGUCAUUAAUUUGGUGUCGUGGGAAAUCAGGACUGUCACUUUGGAAAAAUUAGAGUGUUUAGAGCAAGCUCGCGCUUGAAUACAUUAGCAUGGAAUAAUGAAAUAGGACGUUUGAUUCUAUUUUGUUGGUUUCUAGGAUCGACGUAAUGAUUAAUAGGGAUAGUUGGGGGCAUUAGUAUUCAAUUGUCAGAGGUGAAAUUCUUGGAUUUAUUGAAGACUAACUACUGCGAAAGCAUUUGCCAAGGAUGUUUUCAUUAAUCAAGAACGAAAGUUAGGGGAUCGAAGACGAUCAGAUACCGUCGUAGUCUUAACCAUAAACUAUGCCGACUAGGGAUCGGAUGAUGUUAAUUUUUUAAUGACUCAUUCGGCGCCUUACGGGAAAC